UACAGAGGGGGCUAGCGUUGUUCGGAAUUACUGGGCGUAAAGGGCGCGUAGGCGGCCCGCUAAGUCGAACGUGAAAUCCCCGGGCUCAACCCGGGAACUGCGUCCGAUACUGGCAGGCUUGAAUCCGGGAGAGGGAUGUGGAAUUCCAGGUGUAGCGGUGAAAUGCGUAGAUAUCUGGAGGAACACCGGCGGUGUAGACGGCUUGCUAGACCAUAACUGACGCUGAGGCACGAAAGCGUGGGUAGCAAACAGG
rnacentral:rRNA from 1 species